rnacentral:ncRNA from 1 species
UGUCGGGAGGGACGCCAAACGACAGGAGAUGACUGAACAACCCUUAUGUGGUCCACCGCUGGGGUAUAGUUGAGUAGGACAGGCUGUGGUGGCCGCCCUGAUUAACCAGAGAUGGGAGCAGGUGAAUCCGAAACCAAAGGAGUCCGAAAGAUCACGGGUAUAACUUAGCAGUAAGUGUAGACCCCCGUGUUGUGGGUAUAACUGAAGUCCCACUCUCCACCCA